UCCGGAUAGACCAAAUUCAGAACUAGAAUGGGGAAAAGAGGAAAAUUUCAGAUUUGUAGAUGUUAUGUACACGAACAUUUGUCAAGUAAAUCGGAAGCUUGUUGGAUUGGAAGCUUGGCGGAGAUCACUCACACUAUCCAUCAGCCCAUGUCGGUACAAUAUGGUAAAUCAAUUGUGGUUAAAAUGGCAUGUAUAGGUUAUAUUGGCCAUAUUGGCAAGUAAAUGUAAAUGAUUAUUGUAAUCUAUCCAUUGGAAUGGCUAGUGAUGAUUAUGUUUUGGUAUAUGUAUAUAUAUUUAUUUAAGUUUAUUUUAUGGAGAUAACAUAAGUGUUUAUUAUUGAUUGAUUGAGAAAGGUUAAAUAA